CAGCCGCCGCGCCGCCCCGGCCCUCGGAUCCGGCCACCGCGCCGCCUCCUUCCCCCGGAUCCGGCCUCCACGACGCCUCCUUCCCCGGAUCCAGUCCCACCGCCACCUAUUGCCACCACAUGCCACCGCCAUGUCGGAUCCCGCCGCCUGGCCGUCCGCUGGGCCACCCUCCACCGCCGUUCGUCAGGCCGCGAAGCACCCUCCCCGCAACCCCUACGCCGCCGCUCCCCACUACCCCUAGCUCUCGGUGUGCCGCCCCCGCUACCCCUUGCUGUCUGCGCCGCCGCCCUGGCACUACCUCCGGCGACGCCGCCGCCCCAACCUCUGGCGCUGCUGCCGCCCCAACAUCCGGCGCCAUCUCUCCCCCGCCCAAACUCCCUCCCCCUGGAUCCACAGCGGCGGCGGACUCCCUCGGAUCCACGGCGGCGGCGGACAACCUUCCCCUGGAUCCACCGCCACGACGCCCUCCCUCCCGAGCUCUACUGGCAAACCACCAGCCAUCAACCUCCCACGAGCACCUCCUUUCCUUUGCUCCAACCGGGCCACCGCUGCUGCACCACCCGCCCAGACACCGUAGCUCCUCCUCCAUGAAUACAUCACGGAUGGCUACCUGCUCAACGACGGCGCCAACCUAACUCUGACCAUGGCGACGGCCGACAGACGCCAGUGUUGCAAGCCUGUCUUCUUUGAUCGGAAGACGCUCUAGUUUAGCAAGCAUCAACAACACAAAAAGAGAGAGGAAGAAAAAUGGAUGUCAGGCUCAUCUCUGGAGUGUUUGCAAUCCUUUUCAUGCUAGGUGUUUAUGUAAAUGAACCAGCGUGCUCAUGCAUGCCUAUGGAAGUUGAAAGGAAACAAAUGUUCCAGGAUCACUAUCAGCAUAUAUUUUCUAAAUGUCAACCUGGAGAAAACGCGAUGGCCGUUUGUGUAUAUGUCUCAAACAAAAAAGUGUGUUUUUUGUAGCAUUUUACCCUGUCUUGUUGCAUCCUCUCUCUUUGGUUACAGGAGAAGUUCAUAUACAGCGACAACAGCAAAGUUCAUGUUAGAAAAAUUGAAGUCCAUCUAUAUGGAAGUUCAUAAUUGUUGUGUGCAUGCAGGCGAGCACAAAAAAACUUGUAGCUGAUAAAUUUUCCUUUUGUUUAACUGCAGCAAUCUUUCUUGA